rnacentral:rRNA from 1 species
UAAGGAAUAUUGGUCAAUGGACGCAAGUCUGAACCAGCCAUGCCGCGUGGAGGAUGACGGUCCUCUGGAUUGUAAACUUCUUUUAUUUGGGAAGAAAACCUCUGAUUAUUCGGAGCUUGACGGUACCAGAUGAAUAAGCACCGGCUAACUCCGUGCCAGCAGCCGCGGUAAUACGGAGGGUGCAAGCGUUAUCCGGAUUCACUGGGUUUAAAGGGUGCGUAGGCGGAUAGGUAAGUCCGUGGUGAAAUCUCUCGACUUAAUCGGGAAACUGCCAUGGAUACUAUUUAUCUUGUAUGUUGUGGAGGUUAACGGAAUAUGUCAUGUAGCGGUGAAAUGCUUAGAUAUGACAUGGAACACCAAUUGCGAAGGCAGUUAACUACACAAAUAUUGACGCUGAUGCACGAAAGCGUGGGGAUCAAACA